GGGGUUGUGGCUCAGCAGUAGAGCACUCACCUAGCAUGUGCAAGGCCCUAAGUUUGAUCCUUAGCACCCCA
rnacentral:tRNA from 1 species